AGUAAUAGAAUAGGCUUAAAGGCGCGGUCGGCUACCUCCUCAAGAAGGGAGGGAUGCCCUGUGACAGUUUUCGAAGCACUCAUGCUUAUGCUUACCUUUGGUACGCUUAUCGUAGCGCUGCUGUCCAAUAAACGCAAAUAGACCGCCCUCUAGCAAAGGAAUGCGGUCUAUUCGUGUAUCUCAUUCAUUGCGGAGCCUACCGCCCUUAAAAGCGGCUAUUGCGCAGAGAGUCGUGUUGACGCACGGCUC
rnacentral:sRNA from 1 species